rnacentral:lncRNA from 1 species
CUGACGCUACGUCACCCCACGCUCCAACCAUCCAUCCACAAGUGGGUAGGAUGCAGGAGGGACAGGCUCAUUCUAGGUGCAUCUGGUGGGCUGCAGACUUGGGCACGGAACCUCCGUGGCAAGCAAUGAACAGAUCCUGCUGUCAAAGGGCCUGGCCUGGGUGACAUUUGAUGUUCUGCGUGUGGCACCGUCUCUCUGGCUGGCGAAUCGUGGGUCUUUAGCCCCUGUGAAAGUUCACUUGGAAUCCCUGGGUGAACGAGGCAAGCCGGAAAGAAAGAAUUUGAUCAUCAAAGAAAUAAAGAGCAGCAAACUCCUAAAAACCUGGAAAUCUGCGCUAAUUGCUUCUGAAUGUCUGUGUCUGAAAAAUUAUCAAAUUGAUGCCGUCGUGCUUUUUUUGACAGCCUGUCUGUUACAGUUUUUUUUUUAAAUAUUCAUGCACGGAAAUCUAAUUACUAG